rnacentral:lncRNA from 1 species
AGCCAACAAGCCUUUCAAGAACUCAUAAAGAAGUUUGCAAGGGACCUGGUCCCUGCAAGAUUGCUUACGUGAAAAGGUGGCAAGACGACUAUCAGAAAAGCUGCCACAUCUAAUGUGGUAGGUACACAACUUUUCUAAACAAAAGACCUUCAUUCAAUACGAGUGUUUCAACGAGUGUGUGUUGAUUUAUAUCAUCUCUUUCCAAAAUACACAAACUCAAGAUUUGGCAAACAAAACUUGGAUUUUCUCUUAAAAUUUAGAAUCUUGAAAAGAAG